rnacentral:tRNA from 1 species
GGAGGGUAAGCUCAGUGGUAGAGCACAUGCCUAGCAUACACAAGGUCCUGGGUUCAAUCCCCAGUACCUCCA